CAAGUACUCCCUCCGUCCGGAAUUACUUGUCAUCAAAAUGGAUGUGUCUAGAACUAAAAUACAUCUAGAUACAUCCAUUUCAAUGACAAGUAUUUUUGGACGGAGGGAUUACAAG
rnacentral:pre_miRNA from 1 species